GCAGUCGUGGCCGAGUGGUUAAGGAGAUGGACUAGAAACCCAUUGGGGCCUCCCCGCGCAGGUUCGAAUCCUGUCGACUGCG
rnacentral:tRNA from 1 species